GACGAACGCUGGCGGCGUGCUUAACACAUGCAAGUCGAACGAUGACGACCGAGCUUGCUCGGUCUGAUUAGUGGCGAACGGGUGAGUAACACGUGAGCAACCUGCCCUUCACUCUGGGAUAACCUCGGGAAAUCGGGGCUAAUACCGGAUAUGAGCUCCUGUCGCAUGGCGGGUGUUGGAAAGUUUUUCGGUGAAGGAUGGGCUCGCGGCCUAUCAGUUUGUUGGUGAGGUAGUGGCUCACCAAGGCGAUGACGGGUAGCCGGCCUGAGAGGGCGACCGGCCACACUGGGACUGAGACACGGCCCAGACUCCUACGGGAGGCAGCAGUGGGGAAUAUUGCACAAUGGGCGAAAGCCUGAUGCAGCGACGCCGCGUGAGGGAUGACGGCCUUCGGGUUGUAAACCUCUUUCAGCAGGGAAGAAGCGAAAGUGACGGUACCUGCAGAAGAAGCGCCGGCUAACUACGUA
rnacentral:rRNA from 1 species